rnacentral:rRNA from 1 species
GACAGAGGGUGCAAACGUUGUUCGGAAUUACUGGGCGUAAAGCGAGUGUAGGCGGUCUCGUAAGUCGGGUGUGAAAGCCCUGGGCUCAAACCCCAGGAAGUGCACUCGAAACUGCGAGGCUAGAGUACUGGAGAGGUUGGUGGAAUUCUCGGUGUAGAGGUGAAAUUCGUAGAUAUCGAGAGGAACACCGGUGGCGAAGGCGGCCAACUGGACGAAUACUGACGCUGAGACUCGAAAGCGUGGGGAGCAAACAGG